AGGACGAACGCUGGCGGCGUGCUUAACACAUGCAAGUCGAGCGGUAAGGCCUUUCGGGGUACACGAGCGGCGAACGGGUGAGUAACACGUGGGUGAUCUGCCCUGCACUCUGGGAUAAGCCUGGGAAACUGGGUCUAAUACCGGAUAUGACCUGCUCUCGCAGUGGGGGUGGGUAGGAAAGUAUUUUAUCGGGUGCGAGGGAUCGGGCCCGCGGCCUAUCCAGUCGUUGGUUGGGUGGGGUAAUCGGCCUACCGAAGGUCUUUGGACGGGUAGCCGGCCUGGAGAGGGUCGACCGGCCAC
rnacentral:rRNA from 1 species